GGGGACGACAGGCUUCGACGUGGUCGAAACCUGUCUCGUCGGUAGCGAGCGGAGGUCCCGGAGGCCUCCUUAAACACCGGGAACAACACACAUGCGGACUCUCACGAGUACGCCCUCGCUGCUUAGUCUCUGACUAGGUGAGUGAGGACCCGCCCUCGGCCAGCCGGCCGUCGAGGCUUCGGGUUCAAUACGCCGGAUCACCCGCGGAGGAACGCCUUCGCCGAAGCGGGGACAUCUUCAGACGGGCUGGCCCCGCGCAACCCCGUCCGCAAGGCGAGCGCAGGGCGAGACCAGAGUGCGGACUACGCUCGUAGAAGCUUCCGGGACACGAUCGCGGACGCGGGUUCAAUUCCCGCCGUCUCCACUG
rnacentral:tmRNA from 1 species